UACGAAGGGUGCAAGCGUUACUCGGAAUUACUGGGCGUAAAGCGUGCGUAGGUGGUGAGUUAAGUCUGAUGUGGAAUCCCCGGGCUCAACCUGGGAAUGGCAUUGGAUACUGGCUCGCUAGAGUGCGGUAGAGGGUGGUGGAAUUCCCGGUGUAGCAGUGAAAUGCGUAGAUAUCAGUCGGAACACCGGUGGCGAAGGCGGCUUCUUGGGCCCUACCUGACGCUGAGGCGCGAAAGCCAGGGGAGCGAACGGG
rnacentral:rRNA from 1 species